rnacentral:rRNA from 1 species
CCUACGGGAGGCAGCAGUAGGGAAUCUUCCACAAUGGGCGAAAGCCUGAUGGAGCAACGCCGCGUGGGUGAAGAAGGUCUUCGGAUCGUUAAACCCUGUUGUUCGAGAAGCAAGUGCGUGAGAGUAACUGUUCACGUUUCGACGGUAUCUAACCAGAAAGCCACGGCUAACUACGUGCCAGCAGCCGAGGUAAUACGUAGGUGGCAAGCGUUAUCCGGAUUUAUUGGGCGUAAAGGGAGCGCAGGCGGUCUUUUAAGUCUGAUGUGAAAGCCUUCGGGUUAACCGGAGUAGUGCAUUGGAAACUGGGAGACUUGAGUGCAGAAGAGGAGAGUGGAACUCCAUGUGUAGCGGUGAAAUGCGUAGAUAUAUGGAAGAACACCAGUGGCGAAAGCGGCUCUCUGGUCUGUAACUGACGCUGAGGUUCGAAAGCGUGGGUAGCAAACAGGAUUAGAUACCCUGGUAGUC